CUGGAAAUGCUGAGCGCACUGUGGACAAACAGCACUGCACCGGGUACAAGAACCGGCCGGACGCCACUGACCACACGCAGGGUCAGCCAUAUGCACCGGCCAGCGCCCCGAACCCCGAGUGUGACGUCACGUCGCCGAGCAACCGCUUCCAAACACAAGAUGGCGGCGGCAGAGGUUCUGGGAAAUCAAUUAAAACUCUACAAAAUCAGAAAAAAUAGUGAUGUAAUUGAACUUUAUCUGGCCAAAAAAAGACUAACAGAAGUUCCUGACUUGUCAAGAUUUAAACAGUUGAAGUACUUGUGGUUAAAUCACAACAAGAUUAAGAAGAUAAGUUCCUUGACAAUGAAUUACUGCCUCAAAGAGCUAUACUUACAAAACAACCUGCUCACUGAUGUAACAGAUACUCUGAAACACUUGACAAACUUGGAGAUAUUGAUGCUACACAACAAUUGGCUUACUAAGUUGGAGAAGGUCGUAACAGAAUUAAAGAAAUUGAUGUGGUUGCACACAUUAAAUCUAUUCAAUAAUCCUUUGACACAAGAUCAAGAUUAUCGCCUGUAUGUCAUCUACCAUCUGCCUUCAGUGCAGCUGCUUGAUAGAAAAUACAUACUCCAGAGGGAACGGGAUGUGGCAUUCAGUUUCUGCAACCAAGACCGAAUGCGAAUCCGACAAUCUUUGGCAUUUGGGCAGAGGAUACAUACUCAAUUACAUAAACAGACAGCACCAAAGAAAAAUAAUUAUACAUAUCCAGGUUCAAUGAUACCAGUUCCUCAUCAGAAAGUGAAGUAAAGGAAACUACGGAGGCAUGAGAGAGGAACUGGCCAAGUUGAUUGGACGGGGACACGAGCAGGGUUGAUGGCAGAACGGCAAUGUUUAAGCAACAGUUUAAGACAAGAUAAGUGCCCAUGGUAUUACAGGAAAGAUACCAGCAUGAACAAAAGACUGAAGGCAAAGAAUGGAGUUAAAGGGGGCCUUAUCUGGUUGGCUGCUGGUGACUAUUGGUGUUCUGCAGGGGUCAGUGUUGGAACAAGGAAUCUGCAGAAGGACAUAGACAUAUUAGGAAAAUGGGAAAAGAAGUGGCAGAUAGAAUAUAGUGUAGGGAACUUAUGAACUUUGGUGGAAGAAAUAAAGAUGUAGGCAAUUUUCUAAAUGAGAAGAAAAUUCAUAAGUCAAAGAUGCAAAGGGACUUGGGAGUCCUUGCGCAGGAUUCCCUAAAGGUUAUCUUGCAGGUUCAGUCAGUGGUAGAGAAGGCAAGUGUAAAGUGAACUAUUUCAGGAGAAUUAGAAUAUAAAAGCAAGGAUGUAAUGCUGAGGCUUUAUAAGACAAUGGUCAGACAGCACUUUGAAUAUUGUGAGCAGUUUUGAGCCCCUUAUCUAAGAAAGGAUGUGCUUGCAUUGGAUAAAGUCCAGAGGAGGUUCAUGAGAAUGAUUGCAGGAAUGCAAGGGUUCAUGUAUAAGGAGCGUUUGAUGGCUCUGGACCUGUACUUGCUGGAGUUUAGAAGAAUGGGGGGGGGGGAAGAGUCUUAUGAAAAUGUAUUGAGUAUCGAAAGGCCUAGAUAGAAUGGAUGUGGUGAGGAUGUUUCCUAUAGUGGCCGAGCCUAGAAGCAGAGUGCACAGCCUCAGAACAGAAAGACAUUCCAUUAGAACAGAGAUGAAGAGGAAUUUCUUUAGCCAGCAGGUGGUGAAUUUGUGGUAUACUGUUUGGGCAACAGCUGUGGAGGCCAAGUUAUUGGGUAUAUUUAAAAUGGAUGUUGAUAGGUCCUUGAUGAGUAAGGAUGUCAAAGGUUGAAGGGAGAAGACAGGAGAAUGGGGGUGAGAGAGAAUGAUGAAAUGGUGGAGCAGACUCAAUGGGCCGAAUGGCCUAAUUCUGCUCCUUUGUCUUAUGGUCUUACUAAGUAGUUUUGUUAACCAUCUUCCUAAAGCAUCACCUUUUUACCUUAGUACUUUUGAAAUAGCAUAAGACUACAUGCUAUACUAGUCUCUCUACUGUAUAGACUGUCCUAAAGAAAAACUUGAUUUUAUUUCAGGUAUUCUCAAGAAAAUGAAAAAAAAGAUUAGUGAAACUUCAAAAGAGGAAGCUGUUGAACGAGUAAGGAAAAUAUCAGAAAUGAAGUUUUCCACUUUUAACUGGAACAAACUACCUAAUGCACAGCAGAAGCACCUGGGAGAUGAAAAUG